AAGACUAUACUUUUAGGGAUCAUUUCUAUAGUAUGUGACAAGAAGGUCUAUUCGUGAAAGGUCUAUUUGUGUAGAGCACCCGAAACCACGAGAAGCGGCCAGAGCGUACUCUCCUGAGCACGAAGCCCGCUCUCUAGGUGUCACUUCUGCCAUGGCCUUUUGCCACUGAUGAUUGUUCUUCCCUUCCUUUGGAAGGGGUAGAGGAAGAGGAUGCAGU